AAAACUGUUGGGAGCCGUGGCACUGUCAAGUCAUCAGACGCGGUGAUUGCGAGGCCUGUGGGAAAGUACAAAAGCCUGGGCUAGAUUACCCCUCUCAUCGAGCCCGCCUGUGUGGCACCUGUUUCUUAUCACCCCACUAAGUUCCCGCCUCACAGGGUAGUCUGCCUAGCUAUUAAUCCUAUAUAUAGCCAGUGCCUCCACCCCCGAGAGAGAGAGAGACUGAAGCACAAAGGGAGCCGCGGGGAGCGGACCGGUAGAGGCUUCGGGGCAGACUGAAGCACGGAAGGAGCCGCGGAGAGCGGACCAGUAGAGGCUUCGGGGCAGACUGUAUAAGGAGAGAAUAAAGAAAAGCCUGACCACUGCCAGACCUUGUCGUGUGUCUUUCCUGCCGGCCGGGAGCGACAUCGACAUUUGGAGGCCCGCACGGGGAUUGAUCAACCCCGAGACGCGGCGGUGGACUGCAUUCUCCUACACAGUGCUGCAGCUGCAGGACAGGAAUCGGGACGAGAACCAAUGUGGGUCCCAGAGAGGUUGACGCGACAAGUCCCUCGACUGAAGAUCAGGCCUGUUCCACCAGAGGCCAACCGCAGACCCAACAACAAGAUGAGCCCUAAAAGAACUGCAGGACAAUCCCUUUUUGGGGGCCUGGAACGGCUUGCUCCCCUAUGUGCUACCCUUGUAUACGCAUGGCUCGCUCGCAUGGCCUACGACCGCGUUUAAAAGUGACAGGCUUCCCACAUUCUCCUCCCUAGACAACAACAUGUAGCAGGGUGGGUGAGUCAAUGACGGGUAAGAGCGUGCCUCCCCAGCACGACUCAACCUAAGCCAGGCCCUACCCCGUUCCGCUCGAAAGCCGCUGGAUUGUUAGAUAAAUUUCUCUCCGAGGGGAUUCGUGGAGAGAAAUGAGUGCAUGCCUAUGUGCAACCAGGUUCCGUCCGGUUCAUUCCUGGCCCUAGAAAAAAGGACGAGGGCCUCAGGGCCUUGGUGGACCCUGGGACGGCCGACCAGGGUCUACGCUAAGGGCCUACGGUGGGCCUCAGUUCGGGGCAUAGGCCUCUGCACUCUAUCCAGGACGGGCUGCGAUGUGCGUAGCCAUCAUUUAAAAUAAAAUAGGGGGAGAUGUUGGGAGCCGUGGCACUGUCAAGUCAUCAGACGCGGUGAUUGCGAGGCCUGUGGGAAAGUACAAAGGUCUGAGCUAGAUUACCCCUCUCAUCGAGCCCGCCUGUGUGGCACCUGUUUCUUAUCACCCCACUAAGUUCCCGCCUCACAGGGUAGUCUGCCUAGCUAUUAAUCCUAUAUAUAGCCAGUGCCUCCACCCCCGAGAGAGAGACUGAAGCACGAAAGGAGCCGCGGGGAGCGGACCGGUAGAGGCUUCGGGGCAGACUGAAGCACGGAAGGAGCCGCGGAGAGCGGACCGGUAGAGGCUUCGGGGCAGACUGUAUAAGGAGAGAAUAAAGAAAAGCCUGACCACCGCCA